rnacentral:rRNA from 1 species
GAUGAUGAGGUUAAUAGGUUCGAGGUGGAAGCAUAGUGAUAUGUGGAGCUGACGAAUACUAAUCGAUCGAAGACUUAAUCAAUUU